rnacentral:ncRNA from 1 species
CAGCAUGCGAUGAGAAAGAAGAGUACAUGUUGUGAUGCCUUCAGAGAGCUUGUGGUUGGUGGGAACAAGCGGCUAGCAAUAUGGAAUGGGCUUUCGAGCAUCUGGGCUGAACUGGAGAGUAGGCUCAGACGUCUGCCUUGCGUUACAGAGGCGCCAUGCAUGACACAGCAUGGAUCAGAGUGAUUGCACGUUUCUGUGCAAUAACUAGGGUGGCAACGCGGUCCUAUCGUCCCUAAU